rnacentral:rRNA from 1 species
GACGAACGCUGGCGGCGUGCCUAAUACAUGCAAGUAGAACGCUGAAGAGAGGAGCUUGCCCUUCUUGGAUGAGUUGCGAACGGGUGAGUAACGCGUAGGUAACCUGCCUUGUAGCGGGGGAUAACUAUUGGAAACGAUAGCUAAUACCGCAUAACAAUGGAUGACACAUGUCAUUUAUUUGAAAGGGGCAAUUGCUCCACUACAAGAUGGACCUGCGUUGUAUUAGCUAGUAGGUGAGGUAACGGCUCACCUAGGCGACGAUACAUAGCCGACCUGAGAGGGUGAUCGGCCACACUGGGACUGAGACACGGCCCAGACUCCUACGGGAGGCAGCAGUAGGGAAUCUUCGGCAAUGGGGGCAACCCUGACCGAGCAACGCCGCGUGAGUGAAGAAGGUUUUCGGAUCGUAAAGCUCUGUUGUAAGUCAAGAACGAGUGUGAGAGUGGAAAGUUCACACUGUGACGGUAGCUUACCAGAAAGGGACGGCUAACUACGUGCCAGCAGCCGCGGUAAUACGUAGGUCCCGAGCGUUGUCCGGAUUUAUUGGGCGUAAAGCGAGCGCAGGCGGUUUGAUAAGUCUGAAGUUAAAGGCUGUGGCUCAACCAUAGUUCGCUUUGGAAACUGUCAAACUUGAGUGCAGAAGGGGAGAGUGGAAUCCCAUGUGUAGCGGUGAAAUGCGUAGAUAUAUGGAGGAACACCGGUGGCGAAAGCGGCUCUCUGGUCUGUAACUGACGCUGAGGCUCGAAAGCGUGGGGAGCGAACAGG